UAAUACGAAGGGGGCUAGCGUUGUUCGGAUUUACUGGGCGUAAAGCGCACGUAGGCGGAUUGGUCAGUUAGGGGUGAAAUCCCGAAGCUCAACUUCGGAACUGCCUUUAAUACUGCCAGUCUCGAGUCCGGAAGAGGUAAGUGGAACUCCUAGUGUAGAGGUGGAAUUCGUAGAUAUUAGGAAGAACACCAGUGGCGAAGGCGGCUUACUGGUCCGGAACUGACGCUGAGGUGCGAAAGCGUGGGGAGCAAACAGG
rnacentral:rRNA from 1 species